CCUACAGCUGGAUCUUAAGGAAGCCUUUCCUCAACUGAGGCUCCUUCCUCUCUGAUGACUCUAGCUUGUGCCAAGAAGUUCCCAGAGCGAGGAGGAAGGAAGAGCAAGUUCUGCAGCCAGGACAGCAAAGGUGACCUUGUAUGCCAAAGUAUUCCAGAUCUCUCUCAAGCAACUCUUGCAGCACAGAGAGAAAAGAAUGUCAGAACAAUGGCUGAGGCUGCCUUAAGGGUUGAAAGGGCCUGCGCUAGACACUAAAGGCGAGAGGUUGGGAACUUCAUCGCAUCCUGUCGUGACUCGGAUGACAUGAUCGUGGAGACAUUUCCCAUCUACGUGUUGGAGUUCUAUGCCAGUGGACAGCGUUCACAUGAGUGACUCAGCUGCUCAGCUGGGCAGAUGGAAAUGGUUCCAACAGUGCUUGGAGAGCAGUGGCUUGGACCAGAGCGGGAUUCACUAGAGGAAGAAGACCCAGAUUAAACCGGUAAUACAAGAGCUCCUUCUGGGACUCCCAGACCUGGAUCCUAUGGGAGGAGUCAGGCAGAGAUGGGGAAGUGACCGCACAUACUCGUCGGGCCCACCUUUAAUGUAGAGAAAUGGAAGGUCUAUGAUCCAGCAUAUUGAUGGAGGUCUUAAAAAUGGACCAGUGCUGGUGACCAGGUAAUCAGAGACCAUGCAGCCCAGAGCUGUUGGAGCGACGGGAGACUUUUAGAUGAGCAGAGGGAGCCCUGACUUGUGAAGCUGUGAGCCAUGGGAUAAGAUGGAAUCAGUCAGAUGAGAGAUUGAAGAAACUGGGAGACAACACAACCACUCUCCUGUCCUCGGGACAAAGGCUUUACAAUCAAAGGCGAUAGGAAUCUCUGAUGGAUUGGCUCAUAUGAGCCUUUAGGGACACAUGCUUGUCUCCAGCUGAGGUCCCAUGAAUAUUAGAACUAAAAAGCAGCAAAAGAAGGGUGGGUCCUGUUAAGAGAACUGAGCAUGCAGGAAGUGGUCUUUGCUGGCUAGUGUACAAACCCUGGUGUCCUAAGAAAGAAAUGGAUUGGAGUAAGGACUGGAAGGCUUGUUUGGAGCCUUGGUGACAGGGUGGAGCCUGUGACUAGUUGGGACCCAUGUGAAGACUAUAGAGUCUUAGGCCAAAAUUUGGACCAAUAUCAAAACUUUUGUUGUUAAUGUUGCUGUUGGGUCAUAGGUGGUUGUUUAAAUUUUCCUUGGGAAUGAAGUUUAGCAACGGCAAGGGAUUUCCAUAAUAUUAAAUGGAACCUGCUUGGAUGGAGCUAGUAUGUUGACUCGUUAUCAUUGCCCUGUUUCUCCCCAGGCCUUUCUCUCCAGCUCUCUGCGUGCAUUUGUUCACACAAAGGCGAGAAGAGGGGGCCAGAUUUCCUGGAACCGAAGUUACAGGUGGACACGUGUGUGGGAACUCUUCUCAGGUCCUCUGUAAGGGCAGUACUCGCUCUUAGCUGCCAAACCCUCUCUCCAGCCCCCACAUUGCUCAACAUUCGAAACUUCAAGCCCCAUCCAAGAUUCUAGAUUUAUCAGGGUUUUUUAUUUCCUCCCAGGUACUUUGAAAGUUCCAUUUACCCUUCAGAAAUAUUAUUAUUGGGAGACAAUGGCAAUGACAAGAAAACAUAUGAGGAACUUCUUUUUAAUAAAAGAAAAAAAUGAGGAUAUAAA